UAACCGACUGAGCCACCCAGGUGCCCCUCACGGUCCCAUGAUUCUUAGGAGAGAAUGCCAUUGUCUGUUUUGUUUUUUAAAGUCGCAGUGCGUGGGCAGGGUCACUGGCAGGUGUGCGGGUGAGGCAUAGUGCAGAAAACAAAUCUCACUUAAAACAUCACCUGGAGACAUGCUGUGAUCCUUGCAAUCCCAAUAAUUGGAUAUUUCCCUAGCUACUUCCCCUGUAGAAAGAAGGACUUCUAUCACAAUAGUGCUUUUGUCAUAAUUUUUUAUAUAGCGAGCAGAAUAAGCUCUGAGUGGAGGUUGUUCAUUCUUAACAUUUCUGGAUUCCUUUUCCAGAACUCAUGUAAUACUUUUAUGUUGUCACCAAAUAUUUAUUGCUUACAAUCCAGGCCUUAUUUCCUGCCUGACUUAGGUGCAGUAGGACGUAGAAGCCACCAGGUGUCAGUGUUGCAGGUAACAUUUCAAAUUCCCCAGGUUGCAUCUGAUCCUGCCGGUGCAAAUAUUUUAGUAACAGAGGACAUGCUCCGAGGAAUCCCAUAGACUGUCCCUCCUGCCAGGAAGCCGCAGUGAACAGGACUAAGAAAUUCAAGUGACUUGUCCAGAGAAAAAGAGCUGUUAAAAGGUGGAACCUGGCCUGAGGACUCCAAACCGUCUCCUGCCUACCCCCAGGAAGGACACCCUCUGCAGCCAUAUUGGCCAAAUGUUGUUUCCUUGAUGAGGAAACAGAAGCAGAGACAGCAAGAAGGUGGCUGAGUUGGGAUUUGAGACCAGACUGAGUGUCAGGGUCUGUGGCGUGGAUGACAACACCAUGCUGUCACUGACCAGUUGAACCCCCACUAUGAAACCAGCGGCAUAGCUCCCUCAUCCCGCAACACUUGACCGGAUACGGCUGAGCGGUUCCUGUCCCUGUGUCCACGUGCACGUGGGUCCUCCUGGAGCUGCUGCACAUGAGCCUAGAUGUGAAUUGAGACCUCUCCAAAUUCCAAAGCACCACCCUCACUCAAAGCAUCUGUAAGUAUUGAAUUGAAAAGGGUUUUCACUGAGUAGAGAGUGACUUGAGAAUAAUUUGAUUUGGGGAGAGGUUGAGUGGAGAAAAGUUUGAAUUGUACAGAGAUUAAGUUUCAUUAAGAUUGAGUUCUGCAGAGAACUAAUUGAAUAGCGUGGUAGUGGAUUUGAGUAACAUAUGGUUGGAUUAAGGGUCAUAUUUCACAUAGUAGAGUAAACAAACAAAAGUCCACAAUAAAUUCUCCAGAAU